rnacentral:pre_miRNA from 1 species
ACAGGCCGCUUUCUCCAUUGGAGAGGACGAUCGGACCGAUCGUCCUCUCCAGUGGAGAAGGCGACCAGA